rnacentral:rRNA from 1 species
UACAGAGGUCUCAAGCGUUGUUCGGAUUCAUUGGGCGUAAAGGGUGCGUAGGUGGCGUGGUAAGUCGGGUGUGAAAUUUCGGAGCUUAACUCCGAAACUGCAUUCGAUACUGCCGUGCUUGAGGACUGGAGAGGAGACUGGAAUUUACGGUGUAGCAGUGAAAUGCGUAGAGAUCGUAAGGAAGACCAGUGGCGAAGGCGGGUCUCUGGACAGUUCCUGACACUGAGGCACGAAAGCGUGGGGAGCAAACAGG